CAGUAGCCGCGGUAAUACGGAGGGUGCAAGCGUUAUCCGGAUUUAUUGGGUUUAAAGGGUCCGUAGGCGGACUUAUAAGUCAGUGGUGAAAGCCUGUCGCUUAACGAUAGAACUGCCAUUGAUACUGUAAGUCUUGAGUAUAUUUGAGGUAGCUGGAAUAAGUAGUGUAGCGGUGAAAUGCAUAGAUAUUACUUAGAACACCAAUUGCGAAGGCAGGUUACCAAGAUAUAACUGACGCUGAGGGACGAAAGCGUGGGUAGCGAACAGGAUUAGAUACCCGAGUAGUCCCUGUCUCUUAUAC
rnacentral:rRNA from 1 species